rnacentral:rRNA from 1 species
CUUAAGCAUAUCAAUAAGCGGAGGAAAAGAAACAACAGGGAUUGCCCAGUAACGGCGAGUGAAGCGGCAACAGCUCAAAUUUUGAAAUCUGGCUCCCAGAGCCCGAGUUGUAAUUUGUAGAGGAUGCUUUUGAUGCGGUGCCUUCCGAGUUCCCUGGAACGGGACGCCAUAGAGGGUGAGAGCCCCGUCUGGUCGGAUGCCAAAUCUCUGUAAAGCUCCUUCGACGAGUCGAGUAGUUUGGGAAUGCUGCUCAAAAUGGGAGGUAUAUGUCUUCUAAAGCUAAAUACCGGCCAGAGACCGAUAGCGCACAAGUAGAGUGAUCGAAAGAUGAAAAGCACUUUGAAAAGAGGGUUAAAAAGUACGUGAAAUUGUUGAAAGGGAAGCGCCUAUGACCAGACUUGGGCCCGGUGAAUCAUCCAGCGUUCUCGCUGGUGCACUUUGCCGGGCACAGGCCAGCAUCAGUUUGUCUUGGGGGAAAAAGGCUUUGGGAAUGUGGCUCCCUCGGGAGUGUUAUAGACCAUUGCAUAAUACCCUGGGACGGACUGAGGUUCGCGCAUCUGCAAGGAUGCUGGCGUAAUGGUCAUCAGCGACCCGUCUUGAAACACGGACCAAGGAGUCGUCUUCGUAUGCGAGUGUUCGGGUGUAAAACCCCUACGCGUAAUGAAAGUGAACGCAGGUGAGAGCUUCGGCGCAUCAUCGACCGAUCCUGAUGUUCUCGGAUGGAUUUGAGUAAGAGCAUACGGGGCCGGACCCGAAAGAAGGUGAACUAUUCCUGUAUAGGGUGAAGCCAGAGGAAACUCUGGUGGAGGCUCGCAGCGGUUCUGACGUGCGAAUCGAUCGUCAAAAUAUGGGAAUGGGGGCGAAAGACUAAUCGAAC